UGGGGAAUAUUGGACAAUGGGCGCAAGCCUGAUCCAGCCAUGCCGCGUGAGUGAUGAAGUCCCUAGGGUUGUAAAGCUCUUUCACCGGUGAAGAUAAUGACGGUAACCGGAGAAGAAGCCCCGGCUAACUUCGUGCCAGCAGCCGCGGUAAUACGAAGGGGGCUAGCGUUGUUCGGAUUUACUGGGCGUAAAGCGCACGUAGGCGGACUUUUAAGUCAGGGGUGAAAUCCCGGGGCUCAACCCCGGAACUGCCUUUGAUACUGGAAGUCUUGAGUAUGGUAGAGGUGAGUGGAAUUCCGAGUGUAGAGGUGAAAUUCGUAGAUAUUCGGAGGAACACCAGUGGCGAAGGCGGCUCACUGGACCAUUACUGACGCUGAGGUGCGAAAGCGUGGGGAGCAAACAGG
rnacentral:rRNA from 2 species